GUUAAACAGGAAGAAGCUCCAGUCGUCAUCAGCUCACAGUACAGACUCUCUGCUGUUGUGUCUCAUGCGGGAAGCCAUUUGUUUUUUGGACACUACAUCAGUCAGAUCCGUGAGCGCAGGGAGGACGGAUGGCUGCGGUGCAGCGACGCGUCUGUCAGAAGAAGCAGCUGGAGCGAGGUGUCCGAGGACGCCGGGGACAACGGAUACUUGCUGUUUUACGUCAAGAGCUGAGCAGCGUUUGGUGAGGAACAGAUGAGGAAGACCCCGUGAGGAAGACCCCGUCGAGAGGGGGUCUUGAGAAACCCUCAUGCUCUGGUUUGUCAAUCAGAUGUUUUUGGGGUCAAACUUGCAUCUGUUGGUUUGACGUGAGCGGCACAGAUUCUCGUCUCAUGGCAGCUUUGUGUUUGGGAUGGGAUUUGUUUUUGGACAGUUGGUGGCGUUUCGCCCUCUCUUGUCCUUUUGGGGGUUGUUCCAGGGCCAUAAUCACUGAAGAUAUUGAGGGGGACAAUAAUCCCCCCCCAGUAGUUAGAAGUGGCUAAAUUGUUCCCCCAGUAUUGUAAGUUGUUGCAGUGCUCUGCUGAACUCGAUUACACAGCGCUCUGUUGCUGUCAGAAUGACAAAAAGGUUUAAAAGUGAUGUUUUUAGGCUGGUCUGCCCUCGCAGUCUAACAGCACUCGUCACUGUCAAAACCACUGAGACGGCCAAUCAAAUCAAAGCAGGCGGCGUUUACUGUUCACUGAAGCAGAGCGAGAAUUCCAAGCAAAAGUGUCAGAUUUAACACAUGUACAAUAGAACGAACAAAACAUUUGAUAUUUGACAACUGUUUUACGAUAGAAACAAUACUUGUACAUUACUUGACUAAUAUGGCUGUUUUGAAUUGAAAAUAUGGUAUAAUAUAUAUGAUUC